AUGAUCCCCAGGUCAAUAAAUAUUGUUGGGGUUUUGUCUGCCAAAGCUAUUUUCAGCAAUAUGUACAGCUCUAAAUUGUGGUUUAAGGUCGUAUAUACUUACAUAUGUAUGUUUAUCUUUCUAUUUAUGUCUUUUUUUGGGCCAUUGUUCUCUGGCAUCUUGGGUUAUUACUGGGUUUAUGCUUACAGGAUACGUGCUUAUAUUCUGGUUCAAGGUGUUCCACGCUGUUUGAUGGUGAUCCGUGCUCAGAAAUCUGAAAGAUUCUCGGCAGAGUUAUCUCAUCAUUCAUGCACAGAGAAUGAUGGUGAUGAUGAAAAGCAGCAGGUGUUGGGGAGGAGAAAGCAACUUUCUGACACUCCCAGUGUGUUUGUUAAAGAAAGGUACCUGAGCAUGAUGAAUGCGAGCGCAUGUUUGCAGCAAAGAAAUAUGUGCUGUACGUGAGACAGUGUGAAAAACACCGUCUGGGUGUUGAGGG
rnacentral:lncRNA from 13 species